AUGAUCGUACAAAUCUUGACAUUGACAUAUUACCAGCCGAAAGAGCAACCAUAGACCUCGAAAACUUGACAUUUUAAUGCAAAGAAGCUAACUGGAAAAUUUAAAUCCUGCAGAAGAUGACACUUACCAAAGAUAAGAAGGUUGAACACACCUAAAGACUCCAAAACAAUUUAGGCUUCAAAAUUGGAGUAAUAUUUAAGAAAAUGGCUAACCAAACCAAAAGCAAGGAUUGAUUUAGAUGAAAUCCAAGCAUCUCAUUGUGUCCUAGGUGGAGUGUCACCUGAAAAUUCUAAAAAAGAGCUAAACUCGGGACAAUUCAAAGAGACAAGAUAGUCUAGGAAAGUUCACAACAACUGAAUUCACAUAUUUUAACAGAUGUAAGAUUACUGAGAUUAUGAAUUUUUUUUGUUGCUCAAUGAUGCAUUGUUCUCACUCUUUCUGUGAUCUUUUAUCCUCCUCCAAUUCCAUGGCAAGCUUCUCUCGCUCUAAUUCAUACUGAUGAAUGAAGAAUAAGCAGUCAUGAGCUACGUCAAUGCAAGAUAAGAUCAAUAUUCUACUCUUAACAAAAACAAACAAAUAGUAAUAAUAAUUACCGUCAGUAGGUCAUUUCUAAGUUUCAGUAAAUCUUUGCUCAAGCACCUCGGAAUGUGAUCCCUAUGUAAGAGUUUUCAUCCCAUAUUAGAUAUUCUUUGUGCAACUUUUGAAUAUGAAUCUUGAGAUCGAGACAAGACAAUCACCUGAAGUUUCAUGCGUAGUACCUCCAUUUCCCUUUUGGCUGCUUUAAUAAGGCUGCAUCAUUUUAGUAUCUACAAAGAAGUUUGAACUACAAUAGGCUCUGCCUUAGACGUCAAAAGAAAGAAGCUAGUAAUUAAUAAGAAGUUCCAUUAUUUGGUUCCACUGGGAAGAAAAUCUGCAAGAAAGGAUUCUACAAGGAUGAAACUUGUGAUUUGUAAGAUAAUAAAAAUUAAAACCACUUAAAGAAUGCUCUAUACUGCUUGAAGGUAAAACUCGCCUCCUUUUUGCUUUAAAAAUUGGUGCUCGAAUAGAUGUUUUAGACUACACUCUAUAGUAUCUAUAUACCAGAACAAAAUUAAUUGUUGCAUCAUUUAGGAGUUUUCAGAAAAACAAAUCUUUUUGGAUGAGAUUUGUUAAACCUUGGUUAUGACAGAAAAAAAUGUAGUGCCUAAGUGCUGAAAUUGCAUUGUAGCUUGAUUUGAAAGUUUUGAAUGGAAGAUAUAGUGUCUUACGAACUAAUGUUAAACUAACCUAAUUAUAGUCACAGGAACACUUCUAUUCACAACAACAUACGUGACCAUUAAAUCUCAUUAGGUGUUCUCUAAAGUGGAUCACGAACAAGUAAUUACAUAAAAAGAAUAGUAAAUGGAGGCAGACCUCAUUAACUUGAACACAAUUGGUGAUCCGUUUAACUCUGCUAGCAGAUUGGAGUAUUCCCUUCAAUACAACACAUAACCAUUAUAAUUUGUGUAUCAGUGUAAAAUUUCAAACAAAAUGAGAAUCAACUUGUGUUGAUUUGCGCUGCUUCAAAUCUUAAUUGUUAAAUGAAACUAACGCAGUCUUUUUGAAGAAAAAAAAGGGACAUACGAUGUAUGUAAUCUAGAAACGCAACUCAAUUGAAGAGAUAAAAAUAUAGAAUAGUGCCACAGAUUUAGAGAAAUAAAGAAAUAGCUAAGAGAAAAAUGAAACUGAAAAGGAGAACUAAAAUGACUCGCAAUAAAAAAUAAAGCAACUGUCCGCCGGCAAUUAACCCUUCUCUUUUUAUUUUUUCAAUGUAUUUUUCAAAUCAAAGUUUCAGCAGUUACUUUCAUUGAUAGACAAAAAAUGUCGAGCAAAGACCUGGCAACAACCAUGAAAUAAGAGGGUCUGAAGAGACUCCGAAAAAGCAAGAGAAAAUACGUACAAAGAAAUCUUGUUUCACUGUUGAUAGAAUAACCUAACUGUUGCUUCUAGAAUUUGACCAGAGUGAGUAAACGACAGAGCUAGUAUAAUAUAAUUGAGCUAAAUGACUGAUAGAACUAAUGUCAAUGCUUCUGUAGAUUUUUUCCCAACUCUUCAAACUCCACAUCUCCUAUAGCUAUGAUAAGGAAGAGACAUCUUAUAUUAAUAUCAUGUCUUUUUUGUACUACUAUAUGAGCAAGCAAAUAGAACUGAUGUCAAUUCUCUAUAGUAUUUUUCUAGAUUUUUCCCCAACUCCUCACCCCCUGCCCCUCCUUUUCUAUAGUUAUGAUUUAAAAAAAAUUACAAUGCAAAUCUUCAAAUGCUCGCAGUCCACCACAAUUGAAAAUUAUCUUCCCAAAUUAAGACGGCAGAGGCAACAAUUGAUUUUAUUAUUUAUUUGAAAGAACAUGAAGCCAUAUGUAAAUUAUUGUUUUUUUCAUUUUCAUAUGCUCUUUGCCAGAAAUCAUUCGCAAGGCAGCUAAUAUCAAACAAUAUAGAUUACAAUCACACAAAUCAGUAUUUUUCAAAAUUGAAGAAAAAAAGAGUGAGAGAAGAGAAAGGGAGAGGAACUUACCGGUACAAGAGAACAGAGGAGUGAGGAGUGAACUCGGUUGGUGCCUAUUUAUUUGUGUCAAACACCUAGUAAUUCUAGAAAAAUCACGUAAGUUGUGGUUUCUAGAAAAUCAGGUGAUUUGUGGAGGAAAUAUACCACAAAGUUGAUGGAAUUUUAAAAAUAAAAUAGAUAUGAAAUACCAAAAUUUGCCCUUAAUGUACUGUUCAUCCUUUUAGCAGAAUUAGACAUUUCUCUGCAUAAUUUAAAUCGCAAUACAUACAUCCAAAUAAACAUCAAACCCUAGAUUAUCACUGACAUUAAACUAUGUUCUUAAUGGAGCAUCACAAGACUCCUCCUUUAAAUAAAACAACAAAAUAAAACCCAUAAUAUAUGCUGAAAAAUCGCUGAUUAUAACAAUAUCUCGAAAUAUAACCCGAAGAUCUUAAAUUUCUCAUAACAGAGAAUCAGGAAGCACAUAUAUUUGUAUUGAUAGAAACAAUCGAAAAGGAAAAAAAGUAUACACCUUCUUACUUGAAACCCUUUGCAGUUGAUUAUAUGUGUGACUUGCUCAAAAGCACCUUUCUUGAAAUCUAAAAUUGAGAUAGAUUAAUUAUUAUGAGGAGCUUUGAUAACCAAAAUUGAAUAUUUUGAAGAGAUAGAAGAACCAGAGAGUUUAGGAGGAAGAAUAGGAUCCCAAGAGAAAUGAGAUUCCAGAAAGUACGGCUAACAAGA
rnacentral:lncRNA from 1 species